GAUGAAGAACGCAGUGAAAUGCGAUACUUGGUGUGAAUUGCAGAAUCCCGUGAACCAUCGAGUCUUUGAACGCAAGUUGCGCCCGAAGCCAUUAGGCCGAGGGCACGCCUGCCUGGGCGUCACACGUCGUUGCCCCCCCCAUCUACUCCUUCGGGAUUGCGGGGGGCGGAUGAUGGCCUCCCGUGCGCCUCGUCGCGCGGUUGGCAUAAAUGCCAAGUCCUCGGCGACGCACGCCACGACAAUCGGUGGUUGCGAAACCUCGGUUGCCCGUCGUGUGCGGUCGUCGCGCAUCGAGGGCUCGAAAAAAUUGCCGGGCUCUGCUUCGGCUUUCAACGCGACCCCAGGUCAGGCGGGGUUACCCGCUGAAUUUAAGCAUAUCAAUAAGCGGAGGA
rnacentral:misc_RNA from 1 species